UAGGGAAUCUUCCGCAAUGGACGCAAGUCUGACGGAGCAACGCCGCGUGAGUGAAGAAGGAUUUCGGUUCGUAAAACUCUGUUGUUAGAGAAGAACAGCGCAUAGAGUAACUGUUAUGCGUGUGACGGUAUCUAACCAGAAAGCCACGGCUAACUACGUGCCAGCAGCCGCGGUAAUACGUAGGUGGCAAGCGUUGUCCGGAUUUAUUGGGCGUAAAGCGAGCGCAGGCGGUUAGAAAAGUCUGAAGUGAAAGGCAGUGGCUCAACCAAUGUAGGCUUUGGAAACUGUUUAACUUGAGUGCAGAAGGGGAGAGUGGAAUUCCAUGUGUAGCGGUGAAAUGCGUAGAUAUAUGGAGGAACACCGGUGGCGAAAGCGGCUCUCUGGUCUGUAACUGACGCUGAGGCUCGAAAGCGUGGGGAGCGAACAGG
rnacentral:rRNA from 1 species